AAAACCAGGAUCCCUGACUAUCUGUAACGUACUUCAGGAAACAGAAAACCUAUAACCCUGCCACAGGGCAUCUGCAUAGCCUGACACUCAUUCCCCAGAAUGGCCAUGUGCAAGCUGCCAGUAGCACUAGUGACCAAGGAUGUGUAGCUGAUGAGAGAGCUUAGAGGACACAUGGUCAAAUCCCAGCUGCUGCAAAUUCUCCUGACGCCGUUCAAGUCAUGGAGGGAUAUCGACUUUCAGUAUCUUUCAUCAUUCUGUUGAUAAGGGUGAUGGUAAUUUCCAGGCACAGGAUGCAAGUUUCUAGCAUUAUUAUUAUGCUGGACAUAAGCUACUGUGCAUUACCACUGCAGUCUCUUCAUUCGCAGGUAUCAAGGCAGCAGUCUCUGACAGACACUGGGGAAUUAAAUGAAACCAGCACUACUUCUGCAUGCUAGCCAUUUGUACUGCAGAGUCAAGCGGAGGAGCCAGGAACCCAGUUUGUUUCAUGAGCUGCUGAUGGUGCUGCAAGCCCCCAAACCUCCAAAGCCUAGGGGCUCGGAGCAAUGUGCACAAACACACACGGUUACACAU